UGGGGAAUUUUGGACAAUGGGGGAAACCCUGAUCCAGCCAUCCCGCGUGUGCGAUGAAGGCCUUCGGGUUGUAAAGCACUUUUGGCAGGAAAGAAACGUCAUGGGUUAAUACCCCGUGAAACUGACGGUACCUGCAGAAUAAGCACCGGCUAACUACGUGCCAGCAGCCGCGGUAAUACGUAGGGUGCAAGCGUUAAUCGGAAUUACUGGGCGUAAAGCGUGCGCAGGCGGUUCGGAAAGAAAGAUGUGAAAUCCCAGAGCUCAACUUUGGAGCUGCAUUUUUAACUACCGGGCUAGAGUGUGUCAGAGGGAGGUGGAAUUCCGCGUGUAGCAGUGAAAUGCGUAGAUAUGCGGAGGAACACCGAUGGCGAAGGCAGCCUCCUGGGAUAACACUGCCGCUGAUGCACGAAAGCGUGGGGAGCAAACAGG
rnacentral:rRNA from 1 species